GCUUUCUGUUGUGAAUCAAGCCUACAAGAAAUGUGUAAAUCACAAUUUGGCGCCGAGUUUUCAGAAAAAUCAGAUAAAUUGCUCAGUUUUCAAUUUUUAAAAUAAUUUUUUCUCUCAAUUCCGAUUACAUAUUUAGAACAUUAUUAAUUUCAUGUAAGUAAAGAUAUGCUCAACCUAUAUUCUAUAAUGUUAUAGCCUACCUAUUUAAAAAUAUCAAAAAUGUCAUUUGAUCAUAAAAUGGAAAACAAAAAAAGUUGAUCUCUUUCCCACCGCAUCUUGCCAACUUGGUGAAAUGCAGAAACUCUCUCUCCCUCAGCCUCCUUUCAUCUAGUGAAUCCAUAAAAUCGUGUCUCCUAUCAAGCUAUUCUUCAUGAACCUAGCCACCAUCGCCCCUUCCUCUUACCUCAGUUAGGUGAACUCCCAAUAAUAAGAUUACUGGCCAUCACAGUACUCCCUACAACGUCCCCUCACCACGAACUUAAUACUUCCCUUCUUCUUGAUUGUGAAUUCCAACCCCUCUCCUCCUAUCACCUUCUUAUAUGAAUUCUUCAUGUAGAUAUCACUCUCCCAUCCUACAAUAAAAAUUAAGAAAAAAUUAGACGGAAAACGGAAAUGUAUAACAGAAUCAAAUUUAAGCACUAGACUAAACGCCAAUUUUCUUUUAUUUUAUUUGUCUUUAUUGUCGGAAAGCAAGAACAAGAAAUGAGUGACCCGAAGGCAAUGCGUCAGGGAUGGGAUAUGGACAAAACGGCGUCGCAUAAGGAAUAUUGAAGCGCCGUUUUAAAGCGACCAUAUCAACAAUCGUGGGAAACAGCAUCAGCUUUAGCCAAUUGAAAAUAACUUUUUAACUGCUACAUCAACAGGUGCAAUGGAAAAUAGAUUGUUGUUUAUAGUGAUGGACCAAUUGUCUAUCUAUGCCAUUUCAAUUAUUUCCAUAGUACCAUUUUUUGGUGAACAUAAGAUUUAAUAAAAAUUUACGUGAUAAUUCAGCAAAAUUCAUCUACCCUUGUUCCAUAUGAUUUUGAUAGUUGAACAUAACACUUAAGCGAUUAACAACACAAUUAGACAAAUACAUACGAUUAGUAAUUCAUGUUGAAAAUGGUCGAGUAAACAUAGGGAAAUGUGUGCAAUUCCGGCUACGAUGACUAAAUGGUGAACAAAAUAAAUUUAGAAUUAGAACAAUUUGAUUUAUCGCAGUGAAAAUGCCCAAGUUUGGUGGCUAAUGAUAUGCAUUAUCUGGUUAUAAUGCUAGUUUUAUUAUCAGUAUUAGCCUAGAAAAUUUCUGUUCUACAAGUGAAAGUGAUAGACUGCAACACCGAUGCUACUAUUCUCAAAAUACGGUAGCAAGGAUAAUGGAACAAUAAUUGAACAAAUUGUGGAAAAUUUGUAGCAAAUCAAAUACCUGCAUGACCAGAAUGAACUUACCAAUUCAGAUUUACUAGCAAGAAAAUCUAUCACUUCUUGGUUCCAUUUGUUUGGAAUUUGGAAAGGAAAUUUUACGGGGAAAAGAAUAAAAUGCAGACAGACAAAGAUCAAAAGAGGUCACUUUCAAGCAUCCCAUCCAAUGGAAGGCAAAAUAGAAAAGGCCAUUUCAAUGAAACUUGCUACGAUUGGAGUUUAGAUUUGACAGCCGGGAAAGGAGGCAAUCUGAGUACUGCUUCCUCAGUCUCAAUCGGGUCUGAUCUCAGGAUUGGGUCUUGGAGUGGAGGUUUAGUGUCGUCCUGGGCUGGCCUGAAGGGAGGUUUCUUCGGCUUAGUGACACUGCUAUUGCUGGUUUUCAUGGUUGGAGAUGAUAUCUCUGAGCCUUUCAUUGUUUGCUUUCUUAACCUCUUCCCUGCCUCACACCAUCAAUAGAGUUCAAUGCUGCCGUUGUAGUUCUUGAAGCCAAAUAUUUACAUCUUCUCCUGAGGUAAAUAGAAAAUAAGAUCUAUGGAUUAUAUUAAGGAUAUAAAAUUUAAGACUUUACAAUUUGAAACUCCAAUAAUUUAAGUACUUAAAUUCAAAUCAUGAUAACUUUUCCCCCACAAAAUUUUACUAAUAUUUCAUAAAAUCAUUUAAUGAAAAAUAAACUCAUCAAGUUAAAUAUGGUUAUUACUUCAAAGUUUAUAUACAAAUAUUAUCACUAUGUGAAUUAGAACUAAAAUAUUUAGCUUUAGAUUUAAAAUCACUUCUCAAUAUUCUAACAUAGUAGUCAACUCUUUGAUGCAAGUCGCAUGUUAGACUAAACCUAAUUGUGUAGGCAAAAAAAAAUUCCACAUCAGUAUGUCAAAUAAAAAUAGAAUAAAAAAUUACAAUUAAAAAGCUUGGAAAGACAUUCUUAUCUUUGCCUUUUAACCUCCAUAACUAGUUGAUCACAGAUAGUGUUGAAAUUUGUUCAUUCUUACACUUCCUCAAAUUUGUUCAUUCUUACACUUCCUCACUAUCUCCAUGAUAUCAAUUCAAUUUUAUACACCACAUCAUGACAUGUAAAAUUCACGACUUUCACAAGGCAAACAAAUGUUGUAUUCACAUUCACUAAUGAGCAAAAUCAAUCGUGUCAAUGAGAUUCAUGGAAGACCUGUAUAAAAUUGCCUAUAUUUGAUGUUUUUACUCCUAAGCAAUAAACAUCAUAAAGUACAGAGGGAUAAUUCACAUUUCAGUGUUACAGACAGUCCCAUCAUAUUUGGAUCAACAAUCAAGAUUAAAUUGUCAAUCUUUGAAAGAAUAAUCAGAGAGUAAAUCCAUUGCUGAAUAUUAUUCAGGCCUAAAAUCAUUUUAUUUGUCAUCCAAACAAUUCACUGAUUUACAAUAAUCCACCAAAUGAAACAACAAUCAUGUUAACUACACAAAGAUGGCAUAAUAGAUACAGGCAACAUUCAAAUAAAUCGCAAGGUACUAAAAGAUACCAUUAUGGGAUUUCACCAUGACCUCUCUCAAAAAAUCAUCAAAAUUUCUCAAAAUAAAGAAGAAUCAAAAUGCCUAUUGGUUCAAUCCACCCACUACGUGCAUGUAAAACAUUAAAGCUCAGCUUUACACAUUAAACUGCUGGAUAUUUAAUCAUUUAAAUAAAGCAUUAACCAGCAAUCUGGAAAAUCGUAUUCCUAUCAAUAUCAUUUAGAUUCGCCAAAGAGAGAUCAAUAAUUAAUCCAGGGUUCUAGGUUCAAAAUAAAAAAAAUGACAGAUUUGCAAAGGAAAAACAACUUUCAAACAAAAAGCCAAUUUCCCUCGGAUUCGAUUCCAUUCAAGACAAUCAAUAGAAACUAAAACAAUUUAUUGAGAGAUUAAACAUGACUAAUCUAAACAGAACUUCAUUGAGGAUUUUCAUCGAGCUCCAUCAUACCAAUCAAUUUCCUAGACAAAUCACCAAUCAAUGAUUAAAUCUGUCACAAAUUGCUCAAUGAACAUCCAUUCACUCGUCCUAUACACAAGAAUCAGAGAAAAAUCACUUAUUUUGAACUUUUUUUUACCCCUUGGACAUCUAAAGGUUCCAUUAUGAAUUGAAUAACCAAGUAAACCAUAAGCUCCUCGCCAAGAUAACGGAUUCAAAUGAGAUAAAUUAUGCUCAGAAGUAGAAAAUAGAAAAGAUUAGCAGCUCACCUUAUCUUCCCCCUUCCUAUUUACCUGUCGUCCUAGCUAUGCUCCAACAUAAAUCGUUUCUGAAUCUGCGAAUGAGGUAGGAAGGCUCGUCUGAGAGUAAUGAGACAGCGUAUGAACGGUGAACAGCGGAGGCAAACAGACGUCGAGAGUGGGAAAAAGAGAGAAACGAUGACAGAGCUUCGAGGAUGAACCAAAACCUCUUCCAAACAGAAGUUCAGAACGCUGCUU
rnacentral:misc_RNA from 1 species